rnacentral:rRNA from 1 species
GACGAACGCUGGCGGCGUGCUUAACACAUGCAAGUCGAACGGAAAGGCCCCUUUGGGGGUACUCGAGUGGCGAACGGGUGAGUAACACGUGAGUAACCUGCCCUUGACUUCGGGAUAACUUCAGGAAACUGGGGCUAAUACCGGAUAGGAAUCCUUGCUGCAUGGUGGGGGUUGGAAAGCUUCGGCGGUUUUGGAUGGACUCGCGGCUUAUCAGCUUGUUGGUGGGGUAGUGGCUUACCAAGGCUUUGACGGGUAGCCGGCCUGAGAGGGCGACCGGCCACAUUGGGACUGAGAUACGGCCCAGACUCCUACGGGAGGCAGCAGUGGGGAAUAUUGAACAAUGGGCGGAAGCCUGAUGCAGAAACGCCGCGGGCGGGAGGACGGCCUUCGGGUUGUAAACCGCUUUCAGCAGGGGCGAAGCUUGUGGUGACGGUACCUGCAGAAGAAGCACCGGCUAACUACGUG